rnacentral:rRNA from 1 species
UACGUAGGGUGCAAGCGUUGUUCGGAAUUAUUGGGCGUAAAGAGCGUGUAGGCGGUUUGGUAGGUCCGCUGUGAAAACUCGAGGCUCAACCUCGAGACGCCGGUGGAAACCAUCAGACUAGAGUCCGGAAGAGGAGAGUGGAAUUCCUGGUGUAGCGGUGAAAUGCGCAGAUAUCAGGAAGAACACCCGUGGCUAAGGCGGCUCUCUAGUACGGUACUGACGCUGAGACGCGAAAGCGUGGGGAGCGAACAGG